GGGUGGGGAGAAAGGGCUGGAAAAUUGGGGGCCCUGGAAGUCCAGGGAGGAGAGAGCUUCCAGAGGUCAGCAUGACCAUUAAUGUGCCAAAGGCACAGAAGUCAGAGGAGGUGAGAGUGUCCCUGGUCUUUGGGGACCCCGGCCAUAGCAGCUUUGGGGUAGGGGGCAAAACCCAACUGGGUGGGGGUGAUCUAGAGACUGGCUGAGAAAGCAGGAGGGGAAAGGGAGACCCGAGGGGACAGAAGUUUCUAGAAGGUACUGUCUCAUACACAUUGACAUUUGGUGGGAGGAGGGCUAUGCGAGGACACAAGAGCAGGGACAGGUAAUGAAGGGGGCCCCUGGAGCAGUGGGAUUAAGUGUAUAGGUGAAGGGAUUAGUUGUGUUGGUGGAAAGGGGCAAAAUUAAAUCAUGUACAUUUUACCAAGUAACCUGAUCCCUGUGUUUUUCUGAAGGUUGUUUUUCUGCCGAGGACUGACUGCAGCUCUAAUUAGCAGUAGUUUCAUCCUGCCUCGUGUUUGGGGCUGUGUCUUAUUCAUUUUUGUACCUUUCGGUACCUAGCAACAGGCAGCGAGCUAGGUAAAGACAGAAUAAUUAUUUCCUGCUUGAAAUCAAAUGUCUGAAAUGGAGGUUCAGAAUUUUUUUUUUUUUAAACCACAAAGAUUCUGUGACUAUUCCCAAGGAAUCAACAAACAGGGAAAUGAAAGUCAAAGUUGAAGCUGUCUGUGAGGCUGUCUGGGUCUCAGGAAAUGCACUCUGCAUUCUGGUGUGGGUACUGCUCUUCAUAGUUUUUAAUGGUGAGGUUGUGAUUGUUGUCUCAUCUGGUCAUUGCAAAUCCACCCUCCUGUCCUUCCUGAGGCAGACAGAGACUGCUAGCCCCAUUUUACAGAGUAGGAAACUGAGACCUAGAGCGGCAGGAUAGAAGGAAAGAAUCAUGAGCAAUGAAGUCGGUGGGGAUAGGUCUUGAAUACUGCAUUCAGGGCUUCACACCACUCCUGGUAUAAUCUAGCACGUGUGCUCAGGCACUGUGAUGUCUGACUCUUUGUGACCCCAUGGGCUGUAGCCCGCCAGGCUCCUCUGUCCAGGGAUUUUCCAGACAAGAAUACUGGCAUGGGUUACCAUGCCCUUCUCCAGGGGAGCUUCCUGACCCAGGGAUCGAACCCGUGUCUCCUGCAUUAGCAGGUGGAUUCUUUACCACUGAGCCACCUGGGAAGCCCAGUAUCUCCUAGACAUUGAGUAAUUCGAACUAUUUCUUCCAAAGUCAAGAAGGAGCCUUGGUCUAACUGGUUGCACUUGGGCCUCAUGCCAUCGCCUGAUAAGAGCUGGGUGGCAAGAGGCGGGGCCUGAAGGAGGGGCCUCUGUGGGUUCUGUGUGAGAGAGCAUCCCAUGUCGCACCACAGCCAUGUAAAAUGGAGAACGGGAAAUCUCCCUGAAUGUAACAAGGGCUGUUAGGGGGCAAUAAAGAAUGCUGGAAAGCCCGACAUCCCCACCCUCGCCCCCAGACAUCUACUAAGAAGGAACCAGACAGAGGCAGGCAGACUUGUUUAGGAGGCCGUUGUCCAGAUAAGAGUGAGAGAAGUCUGAACUCAACCAGUGGAGAGGGAGUAAGUAGAUCCAGAACUUAGAGGAGAUUAAAAACCAGAAAUGAUGAUUGGCUUUUAGGAGGAGAGAGAGAGUGAAGACAAAGACUCCUGUGUGUCUUGGGUAGACAGUGGGGAGGCCCCUGGGAAGAUGGGGAGUGAGUUUGAGGGGCAAGACAGUGGUCUCAGAUACAGCCAAGGGGUCAGGAUCAUAGUCAGGUGGAGCCCAGCAGGCACUUGAGUCAAGGGUCAGGGGCUCAGAAAAAAAUUCUGCUGGGAGUACUGGCCUAAGGCCAUGGCCACUCCAGUAACAGGAACCCUGAGAAUGAGUAAGAUCACCAGAGAAAGAGAAUGGGACAGGGCCCAGGGCAGAAUCCUACGUUACAGUGACACUUGAAGUACCAAUCAAGGUGUGGGUAGGUGACAAAGGAGAAAGAGAAGGAAAGGCUUGAGACAUGCAACAACCAACCAGGAGAGUGGGUUGCCAUGGAAACCAAGGUAGUGAAGGGUUUCAAGGAGAAAGUAAUCAACACUGUCAAAUGCAGCAGAGAAUUCCAGAAAGAUAAAGACAGACCCCCACCCCCACCCCCGCCUUUGGAUCUGACGAUUAGUAAGCUUUGGAUGCCCUCAAUAAGAGCAUUUUGGGGGAGUGAUGGGGCAAAACUUGAAUAAUGUUGAGAUGUGAGGGGGAGGUGAAUUCGUCACCGAGAGUUCUUUGAGGAGUCCGGAAGGAAGACUUGGAGACGUGAAGGAUGAGAGUGGGGAGGUUGAGCAAAGGGAAGACAGGAGCAAGUUCAUAGGCUGAUAUCCACUCCCAGAUGCGAUAAGUGUUGUUUAGUGACAAAGUUGAUUCAUUCCACAUAUUCUAGUUUACCACCUGUUUGUGCCUGGCAGUGUGCCCAGCAUUGUGGAUUCUGUUGUGAAUGAAUUGAAAUAGGCAGAUUUCUGUUCUCGUGGCAUUUAUAUGAUAGUAGGGGAGAAAGAUGUGAAUCACGUAAUCACACACAUAAAUGUGUAAUUUCCAACGUUGACAGAACACACUCUGAAAGAAAGGUAGCAAGUGCUGGAGGAUGUACAAGGGCCCCUGCCCCAGGCCAACUCCAGAGGCUUCCCUGCAGCGGCGACACUUGAACCAAGCUGUUAAGGGGACAGAGUUCAUGGGACUGAACAGAUUCGAGAAGAACCUUCUGGCCAGAGGGACCCACCCACCUGUGCACAGGGAGGCGCACUGAGGCCAGAGAGGCAGGCAGGGCUGGGGGGGCAGAGCUCUGGAGGCCAGGGCUGAGCUCCUGUGUACCUCCCGAGAGUGAGGGAAGCGUGUUCAAGACCUGCCUGAAUAUUUCCUGUGCUCUGAGACUGGCUGGUCCCUGGAGAAGUCAUUAGAGGAAGCACAGGUGGACUUAGGGAGACAAGUUGGGAAGUUUCUGUUGUCAUGGUGGACAGGAUUUGGACAACACAUUCUGGUCGGUCUUGGUGCUGGAUGGAAGGAAGAUGAGUAAGGAGGGGAGGAGGUGUUCCAGAUGACCCCUGAGUUUAGGGCUUGCCUUACUGGUGGUGUGGCAGUGCUUUCCUCAGAACUGGGGAGCCCUACAAAGAAACGAGGUCUGUGAGGCAGACCCCCAAGUCUGGUGGUAGACAGCUGAGACAUGCAAGCCAGGAGCUGGGGAGGAAGUGGUUGACUGCGUGGACCUGGAACCCAGAGUGAGAAAUCACAGAGACCGUUUCAGUACUCCUGCGGGAUCCUGAGUGAAAAUGUGAACUGAAGUGGUAUCAGGUUUCUGGAGCAUUCUGAGGGGAUGAGGGAGGCUGAGGAAGAAGAGGCCAAGCAUCAACAUUUGGGGGCCUGUAAAAAGAAAGAUCCUCUUGGGGCACAGAAAAGAAAGGGCGAGAGAGGUCUUUCAACAGAAAGAUGGAGUGGUCAGCAGUGGUUAUGUGCAGAAAGGUCAGAGGUCAAGGGCAAAUCCAGGAGCUCUUCUGAGGUGCAACUGCCCAAUCGCCAUGGCACCCCUGGAAUUGGGCAGUGUAGUGUCCCUCCCGAUUGGUACCCCCCCCAGGGCCCAUGGGAGACCUCAGGGGACCGUAGCAGAGGCAGCCUGCAUAGGGCGUGAUUAAGGAGAGAAGUGAGGGAGCAAAGUCUAAGGCCUUUAAAUGAAAUUUUAGUCUUCAAGGAAAGAGCAAUACUGGCAUACAGAUAUUCUGAGGGAAGGGAGCCUGAGUAAUGGAGUGAUUAAGGAUGGAGACAAUUAGUGAAAUGAGUUCCCACAGGGGUUAGGUUCAAGUGUGGUGGUGGAUAAAUUAGUUUGGGGCAAUAAUGUAUAUUUGACUGAAUGGGGCAAAAUUUAAUUAUUUACCUUUUAGACAGUAUCUUGAUCUCCAUGUUCUUUUGGGAGCUUUUAUCUGAUCUGUGUACCAAAUACAGCUCUAAUUAGCACCACUUUUAUCCUGUCUCAGGGCUGGGAUCAUGUCUUAUUAUUUUUUGUGUUUCUCAGCACCUAGCAACAGGCAGUAAGGUCUUUGGGUGCUGAAUCAAUAUUAUCUGCCUUGGAAUGAAAAAUCUGAAGUCAACAUUCAAACUUUUUGACCAAAAAGAAUCUGUGAUAAUUCUCCAGAAGUACAGUGUGGGAAAGAAUUGGUGUAAAGUCCUGGUGGCAGGAGUAUGGGGUGGUGGGGGGUGGAGAGAGAGUACAAGAGUCAGCUGUCUUCAUCCUUAUACGUUCUGUCCCAUUUAUGCCUUUCACAUUCAUCCUCUCAUAUGAACUUCACCUCCCCCGGAAGAAGGAGAGCAUCACCUCCCAUCAUAGAGGAGGGAGCAGAAGGCAGAGGAGGGGAACUUCCUCUAGUGGUCCAGUGGCGAAGAAUCCACCUCCCAGUGCAGGGGAUGUGGGUUCAACACCUCAGGGGAACUAAGAUCCCACAUGCCUCGGGGCAACUAAGCUCACACACCGCAAUGAAGACCUAGCAUAGUGCCCCCCCCCCAAAAAAAAAAAACAGAAGGAAGUGCCUUGCUGACAUCGAGCACAAGUAACAGGAGCUGGAUUCAACCUCAGUCCGUCGAAAUCACAGUCCUUCUUUCCAGGAUCAGGUUGAGCUGAGAGAAAGAGGAAGAGGAAUCUGUGAGGUCCAGGUGGACGCCCCACCUGGACAUGUGCGGAAGGUUGGAGGCACGCUCCGACAGGAGACCGGAUAUUAAAGCAUCAUAUCAAACUUCGGUGAUAACAUCUGCAAUGCUAGCACCAGAGCAGAUAGCUCAUCCGUCUUAAGAAGCCUCUCUACCUCGUGAAUGAUAUACACAUUUUAUAUUUACACUGAAGACUUCUGUAUUUUUUUCAAUAUUUGUCUUUAGACCCAUCUUAAAUGUAUUUUCACGUUUAGUGUGACACAGAGAUCUAAUUUGAUCUUUUUCUGAACGGAUAACCAGGUGGCUAAGCACCAUUUAUUGUUCCAGCACUAUCUUUUCUCCCAGUUCCCUUGUCUACACUCUGUUCAAGUCUGUUGAUCUGUUUGUCUACUUCUGGGCCAACACCAGAUUUUAAUAAGCAAAAGCUUUAUCUUCCUACCCGAUCAGGUAAGUGCCCCUCCCUUCCUGGCCCUUUAUUCUUUUAAAAGUAUGUUGGUUGUAUUGUACAUUUACUUUUUCACACAUACACUUUAGAAUCAGCUUGUCGAAGUUCCAUGAAAAUCCUGUGGGAAUUUUGAGAGGGAUUUCACUGAAGGGAGAAAUGACAUCUUUGGGAUACCCGUUCUUCCCAUCCAUGAACUGGUAUCUGUCUCCAUUUAAUCAAAGUCUUAUUUGUUUGGUUUGAUUUUUAAUGCCUUUUAAUAAAGGUUGGUCGAUGUUGUCGUAAAGGUUUUUCACAUUUCUUAUUAGGUUUAUUCCUGAGUACCUUAUCAGUUGUGUUCUUUUUGUGAAUGUAAAAGGCUUUUCUUUUUUUCUUUUUGCUUUCCAAAUUUUAAUCAAUUUACUAAUCAUGAUGCUUCAUUCACUGACACACUCUCGGAGUAAAUGUGCUUUGUCCCUGGGUACACAAAUGAGAACACAGCACACAUAUAAAGUAGAACUAAUUGACUGGAAAUGAAUUAGAAUUUUUGAAUUAAAAUUUAAUUAUACAAGUAAUACAUGAAUACAUUUUCCUUUCAAUAAAAUUAGAGUAUUACAGAUAAAGAAGUCUCUACUGAAUACACCCUACUCCCAGCCUCCAGCAAGACCCCUCUCGCCCUGCUGAGGUAACUGCUCUUAGGUUUUUGCUGCUUAUCCAAAAUGUUUUCCAAAGCCCACUGAAGCGUGUCUUCUGUUAUCUUUUUGUGUGUUUGUUUACACAGACAUGGUGUGUACAAGCUGGAGGUGUUACUCAGCUUAGCAUGCUGUGAGACUCCUGGAAUAGCUGACACUGGGCCACAGAGCUCCUUGCCACUGGCAGCUGGUGGCCCUAGCCAGUUACACUGUGUUUGAUUUCCUAUUUCCUAUUGAUUGACUAUUAAAGCGUUUCCAGUGUCAUUCCAUUAAGACACACCUGUAAGAGCCUCUUAGGAUUGCUCAUUUUGCACAUGUACAAGUAUUUCUCUGGGAUAGAUACUUAGAAAUGGAACUGAUGGAUUGUAGGGAAUGCAUAUCUUAAAUUCUAAUAGAGAUUUCUAAAAAUGUUCUCCAUUUGCUCCUUUCUCCUGCUCAUAGUGUGUGUGUCCAUUUCCCCAGACCAUGUCCAGGUUUUCCAUUUUUAACCAGUGAAAAAUAGUAUCUUGCUUUAGUUGGUAUUUUUCUUAAUUACCUACAAGGCUGAAGUCUUCAUGUGUUUACUGUCCAUUUUUUGUCUUUUUGCUAUUGAUUUUUAAGAGUUCUUUAUGUAUUUGAAUAUUAAUACUUUGUCAUGUAUAUUGCAGAUGUUUUCUACAUUGUGAUGUGUGUCAUUUAAUUGUAUAGUACCUUUUGGCUUAGAGAAAUUUAAAUUUUGAUACAAUCAAAUUUGUCAAUCUUAAUGUUAUGCCAUUUUUGCAGUCUUAUUUAAGAAAGCCUUUCCUAUGUCAAGGUCAUAAAUAUUUCCUGUAUUUCCUUCUCAAAAAUUUAUAGUUUCUACAUACAUACAUAUUUAAGCUCUUAUACUAUAUCUAAAAAAUAAAUUCCUUAUGCACAAAUCUUAGGGUCUAACUUUAAUCCCUUCCCAUUCUCCCUAAAUGGAUAGGUAAUGCUCCCAACACCAUUUAUGGGGUAAUGUAUCAUUUCUCCACUGAUUUAAAAUUGCUGCCUCUGCCUGAUACUAAACUCCAGUGCGGGUCUAUGUGAGAUCUCUUUCUUGUCCACUGAUGCAUUUGUCUACUCCUAAGCUUGAUAAUAUGCUUUGCUAAGUGACGGGACAAAUCCCACCCUCUUUGUUGUUUUUGUAAAAUUGCCUUGGUCAUCCUUGCAUAUUUGGCCUACCACAUGAAUUUUUAAAUAGCCUGUCAAGUUUCAGGAACAAUUUUGCUAGUAUUUUAAAUUGGGAUCACAUUGAGUUUUGGAUAUCUUUGAAGAAAAUUGACACCCUUUUCAUGUCUGAAUCUUUCUACCACUGCUUAUUUCUCUGUCUCUCAGUUCUGGUCAUCUUUUAUGUCUUUCAGGGAAGUUUUAUUUAUUUAUUGUAACUGGAGGCUUUCUCUAGUUAAAAUCUUGCAUAUUUCUUGAUAAAUUUCUUCCUAGGUUUAUUACAGGUUUUGUUGGCAACUGUGAAUAGGAUCUCCUCUCCCCUUGUUUGUUUGGCCCUUGUUUUUCCAUAUUUCAUUUCAACCUGUUUACUAAUCAGUGGGCUUGACUUGCAGGCACACAUGCAAAGUGAACAUUCUUCCUCCUUGGGCACAAACAUGCAAGCACAACCAAACUUGCAGAGCCGGCAUAAUUGGCUGAAAAUAAAUUAAAUCUCUCCAGAUUAGACUUUAAUUAAAGAAGUAAAGCAUGAAUACAUUUCCCAUUUAAAAGUAGAACAAUAUGAAUGUAAUUAACGUUUCCUUUGGUCACUUGAGAUCCUGGUCCCUUCCACCUCCACAGAGGUGACCACUGUUCAGAGUUUUAUGUUUUGCCUUCCAUAGUAAAUAUAUAGAUAGUAUUGAUGGAGGUAUUUUCAAUAAAUUAUACCAAGUCAUAGGUCUUAUACUGUAUCCUGCAUUUUUCCUUUAAUCUUAUAUUUGGGGGGAGUUCCCCAGGUUAGUGAUAUAGCAGCUCCUGUUCCUGCUUUUUAACAGCUGUCUGCUUAGUAUAGUACUCUUGCUCACAACUGUACUGUUUCCCCUUCUCUGACAUCCAUAGACCGGGGGGUUCCUCCUCUCUGCCCACUAUAAUGACGAAUACUGCCAGGAACACCUUGGCACCUGCCAGCUCCUGAAAUGUUUCUCUAGGGUAGUAUCUGAGAGUAGAACUCUAGCCUCUAUGGUGGCCACUGUUUCAGUUUUCAUAGACACAGCCCAGGUCAGCUUCGAAAGCUGCUGUGCCAAUUUAAGAUCCUUCCACAAGUAAAUGUCAAUCUCCCUUGUUUCAGACCAUUGACAGCUUGUAAGGCUUAUGGAUCUGAUGGAUGAUAAAAAGUGGUUUCUUCUUGGUUUCAUUUGUGUUUUCCUGGCCACACCAUGGCCUCCUCCCAGGUCUCCUGGCCAUUCUUAUUUCCUCCCUUUGGGGUCAUCUGUGCAUCUCCUCUGUCCAUCUUUCUUCUGUGUUGUUCUUUUCUUCCUGACUUAAAGGAUCUCUUAAUUUUGUAUAUUAAUUCCUUGUCUACUCUAUGCGUUGCACAUAAUUCUCUACCAUCGUGACCCUUGUCAUUUUAACUGUAUUGUAUCUUUCAUCAUAGAACUUUUCAUUUCUAUGUCAAAUUUAGAAUCUCAUCUUGCCUUAAGAAGGCCCUCUCUAUACUAAGAUCACAACCAUUUUCCUGUGUUUUUCCUAAAGCUUUUGUAAAUUUCCUUCUUGCAUAUAUGUUUUAUUAUUUUCACAUUUAAGUCUUUAUUGAAUAUGAAGCUAAUUUUAAGUGUGAUAUCAGUGCUUAAUUUUUUUAAAUGUCAAAAUUGAUAACCAAUUUUUUCAAUACCAUUUAUUGGAUAACGUGUCAUUUCUUCAGUAAUUUAAAAUUGCUGCCUCUACCUGACACUAAAGUCCAGUGUGGCUUUAGGUCAGAGCUCUUUCUGGUCCACUGAUCUAUUUGUCUAUUCCUGAGCUUGAUAAAAUGCUUUGCUAAGUGGUGGGACAAAUCCCACCUUCUUUGUUGUUUUUGUAAAAUUGCCUUGGUCAUCCUUGCAUAUUUGGCCCACCACAUGAAUUUUUAAAUAGCCUGUCAAGUUUCAGGAACAAUUUUGCUAGUUUUUUUAAUUGGGAUCACAUUGUGUUUUGGAUAAGUUUGAAGAAAAUUGACACCUUUAUCAUAUUUGAGCCUUCCCCUCGAUGCUCACUGCUGUAUCUCUCAAUUCCAGUCAUCGUCUAUGUCUUUCAGGCAAGUUUUAUGGUUUUCUCUAGUUAAAGACCUACGUAUCUCUUGAUAAAUUUAUUCCUGGGUUUAUGAAAGACUUUGUUGUCAACUGUGAAUAGGAUUUCCUGUUCUCUUGUUUGUUUGGCCCUUGUUUUUCCAUAUUUCAUUUCAGCCUGUUUACUAAUCAGUGGGCUUGACUUGCAGACACACACGCAAAGUGAAUGUUCUUCCUCCUGGGCACAAACCUGCGAGCACAACCAAACACACAGAGCUGGCAUAAUUGGCUGAAAACAAAUUAAAGUCUUUUCUGAUAAUACUUUAAUUAAGGAAGUGAAGCAUGAAUACAUUUUCCUUUUAAAAGUAGAACAAUAUGAAUGUAACUAAAAUUUCCUUCGGCCACCCUCCGAAGUCCUGGUUCCCCUGCCUUCCUCACAGUUUUAUGUAUCUCCUUCCAUAUAAAUGUAGAGUAUUGAUGGAGGUAUUUUGAAUGAAUCAUCCCACUUUAUAGAGAUUUUACUGUAAGCUGCAUUUUCCCGCCACCAUAUAUUUCUAGGAUAUACUCAUAUUGAUACAAAUAGCCCUUGCCAGUUCCUUUUAGUAGCUAUGUUAUAUUCAUUCCCAUGAAUGGGCCAGGUCUUUCCUUCCUUAAGAUCUGUGUACAUCUAGUUCUAUCUUUUCUUUCCUCCUUCAUAAGCAAUGCCACUGAAAACAGCCUCACACUUGCCUCUUCUGUAAUGUUUCUCUAGGGUAGUGGUUGAGAAAUGGCAUUUUGCUUCUCAAGGUUCCCACAUUUUUAGUUUCAGAUAUUACCAAAGUGUCCUUCAUAAUCUCUGUACCAUUUACACUUCUGGCCAGAGGGUAUGAGAGGAUUCCAAUCCCCACACCAUAAGUAGUUGUUUUAAAUAUUUGCCAAUUUGAUGGGUGAAAUUGAAUCAUUUUUUAAAGUUUAUACAUACUUGUUUGCUAGUGAGAUUUUCAGAUGUGUAUUAGACAUUUGUAUUUUCUAUUUUCUGAAUAAUCUAUUUUUGCUCAUUUAAAAAAAAUUAGGUUGUUUGUCUUUAUCUUACUGAUUUUAUGAGUCUCCUGAUAUAAUCUGUUAAUCUUUUGUGUGUAUGUGUAUGUGUGUGGGCAGUUAUUUAUUUCCAGCUUGUCUGUUGCCUUCAGAUUUUUUUAGGAACUUUUGUUAGAAGUUAUCGAUUUUGACAUAACCAAAUUUAUUAUUUUUUUUCCUUUAUUCCUUUUAUUUAUAGGUCAUGUUUAGGCCUUUCUUACUCCUAAGGUUUAAAUAUAUUCUGCAUUCCUUUCUAGUAAUUUUGUUUUUCUGUGGGUCUUUAGUGCAGCUGGAAUGUAUGUUUAUGAUUGAAAUGAGAUAUGAUCUAACCUUUCUCCAAAUGUACAGCUGAUUAUUACAACAUGAUGGAUUGACUAGUUCAUUCUCUCCACUGAGCUGAGAUGAAACUCCCUCACACACUGAAUCGCCAUGUCUAGGUGCUGUUGGGUGAAAACAUGAUGCUUGGAGCUCUGACAGCCAUCUUGUGACCAGGAGGGGAAGGCCAGGAGAUGCAACUCUGUGCUGACUCCAGCUUGAACACCUGGCACCACUGACUUCUGGACUUUCUUUGAAAUAAAUAAAAUGUUCUUAUUGUUUAA